GAUUGGUGCUGUGAUUGGGAUUAAAACCUCAGGCCAGCUGUGGUUUUUAGCAGUUGUUAAAUGAAAUCUUUUAAAAAGAUUUUGGAACCACUAGUAUUAUGUUUUUUGGAAAGGCCUGUGAGAAGUAAGCCAGAUUUGAAGCUAAUGACUGACCAAAAAUAAGAUACAAGUUCAGUAUUAAAGGAGGAACAUGUUACAACCUUUGAAGAUGAAGGGUCCUAUAUAAUUCAAGAACAGCAGGAUUCUCUUGUGUGUCAAGGAAUUCUUGAUUUAGAAGAAACUGAAAUGCCAGAGCCUCUAGCUCCUGAAAGCUACCCCGAGUCAAUCUGUGAAGAAGAUGUUACCUUAGCUCUGAAAGAGCUAGAUGAAAGAUGUGAAGAAGAAGAAGCGGAUUUCUCCGGACUGUCUAGUCAAGAUGAAGAAGAGCAAGAUGGUUUUCCAGAAGUACAGACGUCGCCUCUGCCGUCACCAUUUCUUUCUGCCAUCAUAGCCGCCUUUCAGCCCGUGGCAUAUGAUGAUGAAGAGGAAGCCUGGCGCUGCCACGUCAAUCAGAUGCUGUCUGACACCGACGGGUCCUCUGCAGUGUUUACUUUUCAUGUGUUUUCUAGGCUGUUUCAGACAAUUCAAAGAAAGUUUGGAGAAAUAACUAAUGAGGCAGUCAGCUUUCUUGGUGAUAGUCUGCAACGCAUUGGUACCAAAUUUAAAAGUUCCUUGGAAGUGAUGAUGAUGUGUUCAGAAUGCCCAACAGUCUUUGUGGAUGCUGAAACACUGAUGUCAUGUGGUUUGCUGGAAACACUCAAGUUUGGUGUUUUGGAGUUGCAAGAACACCUGGAUACAUACAAUGUGAAAAGAGAAGCCGCUGAGCAGUGGCUAGAUGAUUGUAAGAGGACAUUUGGUGCCAAAGAAGACAUGUAUAGGAUAAACACAGAUGCACAAGAAUUGGAGCUCUGCCGAAGAUUAUACAAAUUGCAUUUUCAAUUGCUGCUUCUGUUCCAGGCCUACUGUAAACUUAUCAACCAAGUAAAUACAAUAAAAAAUGAAGCAGAGGUCAUCAACAUGUCAGAGGAACUUGCCCAGCUGGAAAGUAUCCUCAAAGAAGCUGAGUCUGCUUCCGAAAACCAAGAAAUUGACAUUUCCAAAGCUGCACAAACUACUAUAGAAACUGCCAUUCAUUCUUUAAUUGAAACUUUGAAAAAUAAGGAAUUUAUAUCAGCUGUAGCACAAGUCAAAGCUUUCAGAUCUCUCUGGCCCAGUGAUAUCUUUGGCAGUUGUGAAGAUGACCCUGUACAGACACUGUUACAUAUAUAUUUCCAUCAUCAGACACUGGGCCAGACAGGAAGCUUUGCAGUUAUAGGCUCUAACCUGGACAUGUCAGAAGCCAACUACAAACUGAUGGAACUUAAUCUGGAAAUAAGAGAGUCUCUACGCAUGGUGCAAUCAUACCAACUUCUAGCACAGACCAAACCAAUGGGAAAUAUGGUGAGCACUGGAUUCUGAGACACUUCAGGCCUUUAGGAAAGAAACUAAACUGAAGAUGAUGAAGAAUAUUAACCAAGCACCUUUUAUGGACCCUUGCAUUCACUGAUAACUUUCUGGCAGCAUCUACUUUUUAGUGUAACUAAUGUCAAACUGUAUCAAAAACAAAGAUCUGAAAGAAAAAAA
rnacentral:sRNA from 1 species